AUGGAUGCUUCAGACCAUCCUUCCGAGCCUCGGCAAGCUGGACGGGUGGAUUCGCCAAGCAGGGCCCUCCGGCGAGGUGGAGGGGCUGAGGGACGAGAUCGAGCAAGUCGACGGGGUCGUCUCUGCCGUGAACGGCAGGGCGGCCCGAAACAGGUCGGUGGCCAGAUCCCUCGCAGCCCUCAAGCAGCUGCUCUACCACGCCGACGACAUGGUCGACUAGCUCGACUGCUACAGGCUUCAGCAGGAGCUCCACGCCCACGGAGUGUAGGCCCAUGGCAUUGGCACCAUCCCAACGAAAUUGAUGGACCAAGUAACCAGCUGCCAAGUUCUUCAAGAAGAAAAAGGAGAAGGGGCAACAUGGAGAAAGACGCGGUGCUGGUGUGCAUGGUCCUGGGCUUUCUGGGCUCCGUCGCGGUCACCCUCGGCUUCGUCGCCAACAACUACAACUCCAAGUACAACGGGACGAACUGCGUGUACCGAAGCCCGCCGGCGAUGGGUCUCGGCAUCCUGGGGGUGUUCCUGGUGUUCAUCAACCAGGUCAUCGUCGCCGCCUAUGCCAGCGGCUGGUGCCUCUGCCUGUGUUGCUGCUGCCCCUGCUGGACCAAGCGCCGCCGGCUGGCGCCAACACCGUCCAAGUGGAACCCAGUAUAG
rnacentral:rRNA from 1 species